rnacentral:rRNA from 1 species
UGAGUAACACGUGGGCAAUCUGCCCUGCACUUCGGGAUAAGCCUGGGAAACUGGGUCUAAUACCGGAUAGGACCUUUAGACGCAUGUCUUUUGGUGGAAAGCUUUUGCGGUGUGGGAUGGGCCCGCGGCCUAUCAGCUUGUUGGUGGGGUGAUGGCCUACCAAGGCGACGACGGGUAGCCGGCCUGAGAGGGUGUCCGGCCACACUGGGACUGAGAUACGGCCCAGACUCCUACGGGAGGCAGCAGUGGGGAAUAUUGCACAAUGGGCGCAAGCCUGAUGCAGCGACGCCGCGUGGGGGAUGACGGCCUUCGGGUUGUAAACCUCUUUCACNAUCGACGAAGGUUCGGGUUUUCUCGGAUUGACGGUAGGUGGAGAAGAAGCACCGGCCAACUACGUGCCAGCAGCCGCGGUAAUACGUAGGGUGCGAGCGUUGUCCGGAAUUACUGGGCGUAAAGAGCUCGUAGGUGGUUUGUCGCGUUGUUCGUGAAAUCUCACGGCUUAACUGUGAGCGUGCGGGCGAUACGGGCAGACUAGAGUACUGCAGGGGAGACUGGAAUUCCUGGUGUAGCGGUGGAAUGCGCAGAUAUCAGGAGGAACACCGGUGGCGAAGGCGGGUCUCUGGGCAGUAACUGACGCUGAGGAGCGAAAGCGUGGGGAGCGAACAGGAUUAGAUACCCUGGUAGUCCACGCCGUAAACGGUGGGUACUAGGUGUGGGGUUUCCUUCCUUGGGAUCCGUGCCGUAGCUAACGCAUUUAAGUACCCCCGCCUGGGGGAGUACGGGCCGCAAGGCUNAAAACUCAAAAGGAAUUUGACGGGGGGGCCCGCACAA